UUUGUGGAGGUAAGGGAAAUUAUUGGAGCAAGUAAUUGAAACAGUGAACUGAGUGAAGAAAUGAGUCAGCUGCCAAACACAGAAACUAACAAGCAAGCAAAAGAAAGCAAAAAAGAAGAACCAAACACCACUCACAAGAAAGUGAAGUGAAUUGGAGUUUUCUGAAUCAAUCUUUCUUUCUUCAAAGUUUUUGUUCCUUCCUUAAUCCACUCUUCCUCCUCCACAUGGGUCGUCUUCUUCUCUUUCUCAUUCUUCUCAGCCUCUUCACAUUAUCUUUCCUCUCAGAGGUACAAUCAGCAUCGUUCGAGAUCGUCAACAAGUGCCGCCACACGAUAUGGCCGGGACUACUCUCCGGCGCGAACUCGCCGCCGCUACCCACCACCGGUUUCGCCCUCGAGAGCGGCAAGUCGAGGACCCUUCACUUCCCGAAAGCUUGGUCGGGACGGAUAUGGGCGCGGACCCUCUGCGGCCACGACCGGGACGGGAAAUUCUCCUGCGUCACCGCAGACUGCGGCUCCGACAAAGUGGAGUGCAUCGGCGGGGCAAAACCUCCGGCGACUCUGGCGGAGUUCACCCUGAACGGCGCCGACGGGUUGGACUUCUACGACGUGAGCUUGGUGGACGGUUACAACCUCCCGAUGCUGAUCGUGGCGAGGCGAGGCACCAGGGGUGGUUGCAGCCCCACCGGGUGUCUUGUGGACCUUAACGGUGGCUGCCCGAGGGAUCUCAAGGUGGCGCGUGUGAAUGGGACUGGUGGCAGCGUCGCGUGUAUGAGCGCGUGUGAGGCUUUUGGGGACCCGCGGUAUUGCUGUAGUGAGGCGUACUCUACGCCUGACACGUGUGCUCCUUCGGUUUACUCGCUGUUUUUUAAACAUGCUUGCCCACGCGCAUAUAGCUACGCGUAUGAUGACAAGACCAGCACAUACACAUGUGCCUCAGCUAACUAUUUGAUCAUUUUCUGCCCCUUACCCUAUACAAGCCAAAAACUGUUGGGAGCACAUAAAGAUGGCGCAGAGCUUCCUCUGGUAAACAAAACUAUGAUGUAUUUAUCAAGACUACACUCAAGCGGUUCUUCGUCAACAGGUCUGGUCCAAUUGCAGAGUAUAGCUUAUGUUGCCUUUAUGGCAAUGGCAUUUUUCUUAUCCUAUCCUCCUUAACACUCUUUAUGGCUCACACUUCAGGUAGAUAGUGACACAAAAAACUAGCUCCUUCUUGUAAGCUCUUCAUGAUGCCUCCCUUCUUACUACUUUACAUUAAACUAUCAAGUGGCUGCUGUGCUGAUUCUACUCAUGUUGCAGGACUUGAAGGAUAUAUCAUAUAGGAAGCACUGUUACAAACUUGGAGCUUACUCAAAAGACUAUGGAAAAACUUAAGAUACAAGGUUUUAGUCAAAAACCUGGACUCUCUUGUAGUGACCACCAACAUGCUUAUGAAUCUUUCGUGUGCUGAUGUGAAGGGAACAAAAGAUGAAAUGGUGUAAUUUAUGUCUAUAUAUCAUCUUUAUAUUUAUGAGCACUAGUUCUCUUUCACCUGCUAUACGAAAUGAGGAAAGCACCCCUAGUCACCUUCAUAGUUGACAUCCUUAGGAGAAAGCAAACGAGCUACUGAAGUCCACAUGAAGAACAAGUGAAAGCAACAUGGCCUCGAUCUGCUAUCAAUAUUGGGGUUCAAGGAUUAGUAGAAAUUUGGUCAAAAUAAUCCAAGAGGGUCUCAGAGUUUUAAUUUUUUGUUUUAUUAGGUGAGUGGUUUUUGAAACUUUAAAAUCUCAGUUUUCUAUCCUCUUCCAAAUUUUCAUCUUCUCAAACAAGCUGCAAGCACACCGAACAUAGUAAUUUUCAAUUAGCAA